AUUGAACGCUGGCGGCAUGCCUUACACAUGCAAGUCGAACGGCAGCGGGGACUUCGGUCCGCCGGCGAGUGGCGAACGGGUGAGUAAUGUAUCGGAACGUACCUUUCAGUGGGGGAUAACGUAGCGAAAGUUACGCUAAUACCGCAUAUUCUCUGAGGAGGAAAGCAGGGGACCUUCGGGCCUUGCGCUGAUGGAGCGGCCGAUAUCAGAUUAGCUAGUUGGUGGGGUAAAGGCUCACCAAGGCGACGAUCUGUAGCGGGUCUGAGAGGAUGAUCCGCCACACUGGGACUGAGACACGGCCCAGACUCCUACGGGAGGCAGCAGUGGGGAAUUUUGGACAAUGGGCGCAAGCCUGAUCCAGCCAUGCCGCGUGAGUGAAGAAGGCCUUCGGGUUGUAAAGCUCUUUCGGACGGGAAGAAAUUGGUGGGGCUAAUAUCCCCAUCGGAUGACGGUACCGUAAUAAGAAGCACCGGCUAACUACGUGCCAGCCGCCGCAGUAAAAC
rnacentral:rRNA from 1 species